CGCGCAAAUUACCCAAUUCUAACAGUUUGAGAGAGGUAGUAACAAGAAAUAACAAUACAAGGCAAUUAAAAUGCUUUGUAAUUGGAAUGAUAGAAAUUUAAACCCUUUUUAAAGUAUCAAUUGGAGGGCAAGUCUGGUGCCAGCAGCCGCGGUAAUUCCAGCUCCAAUAGCGUAUAUUAAAAUUGUUGCAGUUAAAAAGCUCGUAGUUGAAGUUCUGCUAAAAGUAACCGGUCUGCUUUUAAUAAAAGUGGUAUCUUGGUGUGUAUUUAGCAAUGAUGUCCUUUGAAGUGUUUUUUACUUUAUUGUAAUAAAGCAUAUUCAGGACUUUUACUUUGAGAAAAUUAGAGUGUUUCUAGCAGGCCGACGCUUUGAAUACAGCAGCAUGGAAUAAUAAGAUAGGAUUUUAGUUCUACAUUAUUGGUUUUAAGAGCUAAAUUAAUGAUUGAUAGGGACAGUUGGGGGCAUUUGUAUUUAACUGUCAGAGGUGAAAUUCUUAGAUUUGUUAAAGACAAACUACUGCGAAAGCAUUUGCCAAAGAUGUUUUCAUUAAUCAAGAACGAAAGUUAGGGGAUCGAAGACGAUCAGAUACCGUCGUAGUCUUAACUAUAAACUAUGCCGACUAGAGAUUGGAGGUCGUCUUUAUAAACGACUCCUUCAGCACCUUA
rnacentral:rRNA from 1 species